CACACGCAGGGAGCAGGCAAGUCUCGUCCAACAGAUUCCACCCCUCCACCGAUCUUGCCCCAGCGAGGCAUCGACGUGCCGUGGAGGGAUCCCUAGCGCCGCUCCUCCUCCUCUCCAGUUUCCAUACUGGGAUUCCUUCUAAUAAAGAUCCAAGCAGUAUCUCCUUGAUGCCCUUCCUCUCCAGCCCUUGAAUCGCCUCUGCCCCAAAGGUAUGCUAUGAUAUCCAAGUGAUUGGAAAUCUGAAUCAAUCCUUCCUCUCUGGUUCUCCCUAAUAUCUUUGUUUGUAACCUUUGAAUCUCCUUAGCUUUCAUGUCCUGAGUACGCUGCAAUCAUGCAUCUAUUUUUGAUCUUACAAGAAUAUAUCCCGUGAUGAAUAUUGUUUGAUGGGAGAGCCAUACCGAUGGUAGUUUGAAUUAAUUUAGUUGGCCACCGCCAUGGACGAUACUGGGCAUUCCACAUGCCCUCGACGCAAGAUGCCCACCAGAAUGAACCCCAUGCUACAAUUAUAUUGCUUGAGGGUGGAAAAGCCUGAAAAGUUUAGGGAAGAUUCAAGGUACAGGUAGAUGUAUGUUGCCUAUGUACAAUCCUAUAGUUUAUUUUAUUUGCAAAUUGUGCAUAGUAAUAAAUUUCUACAAGAAGAUGCAAAAUAAUUGAUCACAUAUAGCCUGCGUGCGAACAUACAUGUCCUAGAUCUGUUUAUAAUAAUUUCGUAUUACUGAGAUUUUAUCAUGCUAUUAAGUAGUACCCUAGCAGGAAACAUACUGUUGCUGCAAUUUUUCUUUUGGCAUGCAAGGGCUGAAGUCUGUUGAAUUCAGGUACUGUUGCUGCCAUUUUUCUUCAUCUAAUUUUCUCUACUAUUUUUCGAAAUGAUUCAAUGGAAUUUCAUUAUGUGGUUGCAACCGUGAUAGUAAACUGUCAUAAAAGUUGGGAAAGAAAUGACAUCACUGCUCACAUAACUCAGACUAAAUUCGCUUCUCAUGUUAUUUAAUAGAGUGAUUUUUAUCACAGUGAACACCACCAGCACUGCUUGGCCACUUCACCACCUGCCUCUAGCCGUUCAGUAACCUACAGGUCAUGCUUUGCAAAUUAUCAGCCUUCGUCGGCUGGUUAUUUGUUGUUUAUUUUGCUCACCAUUAUUUCCGUGUUAUUAAUUGGAGAAAGUAUGAUGUAUCGCUUAUCCAUACUGUUGGUGUAGCCCAGACAACGGUCUGUGAUGCAGGAUCCUUGGUUUUCGAGUGAUUGAUCUCCAUGUAAUUCAAAUUUAUGGUGGCAUAAUACGCAUUGAUAUUCACACAUUUCCUCAACUAAGUUUAUGAUUGUUUUCAGUCCCUACAAUAAUUUAUAGUGCAGGCCGCAGAUAUGGUUAGUGCAAUUCCAACUCCAUAGAGAACUUACUGUAAAUGACCGAUUCCGUGGCUUCCUUUUGUUACCUUUGCGAACUCAAUCCAGAGGUUUUGCUUUUUCUUCAGUCAUCCAUACCUCAAACCUGAUAGUGCUUACUAAUUUCGCAAAUAUCUGGUGCAUGUACAUCCCUUCACAUGAGACCUAUAAAUUACUUUCUUUUAGGAAAUACUCUAAUUGCAGAGAUUUAUUCUUUGUUAAUGGCUCGACUAAUUUGGAUUACUCUUAUAUUUAUUUUUUCUAUCGUGAAUUUUUCGCAGGUACGAGUAAAUAUUGGUUCUUUGACAUUGAUCCUUAAAUUUAAUAGUACUAAUUCAGAAGAUGGGUGCAUAACGAUAUCAUCGGAUUAAACAAGUUGAAAAUGCAGCAAUUCAGGAAUCACCUGAAUCAAUUCAGACCAUUGCCGCAGAUGUCCUUGAACUGCCUCUCCUUCCACCUGAAGAUGUUGCCACUCCUUCAAAGCACAAACUUUCAGACCAGAGCAUGCAGCAAUCCAACAGAAGAUUUCGCCACUCCUUAAACUGCCACCACACACACCGAAUCGUCGGCCUUGAGCGAAGCCUGCUUGUUCCUCACAUCAAACGCCUGUAGAAAUCCAAGAAGAUGAAGAAAUUGGGUGGACAUGGCCCGACCAAUCCAAGAAGAUAAAGAAGAAAUUGCAAUGGGCGCAGUAGAUCGAAGGGAGGAGAAGUGGAAAAAGGAGACCUUUGACUCCGGCGGGCUCCUGGAUCAUAAACUACUUUUUCAUUCGGGUAUGGACGUGGGUGGUAUCAUUUUCACAGGAGCAGCGUCUGGACAUGCAUCAAUAGGUGCUAAACUCACAUGCUACUACAAUGGACGGCUCUACAACAUUUUAUUUUAGAUGUACAACAAUAGAAGGGAAAUGUGCAUGCAGACGAUCAUGUGUUUGACGAUCAUACUUCUAAGUCCUUACUAUAACAACAAGAAGUUAAUCAGCAUGAUGUACUUAUGUUGUUGUGAUCAAACAUGUUGUCAUGCUUUAAAUGCCAUGGUAAUUUUCAUUGCAACGUCCACUUUACUCUAC